rnacentral:rRNA from 1 species
AUUGAACGCUGGCGGCAGGCCUAACACAUGCAAGUCGAACGGUAGCAGGAAGAAGCUUGCUUCUUUGCUGACGAGUGGCGGACGGGUGAGUAAUGUCUGGGAAACUGCCCGAUGGAGGGGGAUAACUACUGGAAACGGUAGCUAAUACCGCAUAACGUCUUCGGACCAAAGAGGGGGACCCUCGGGCCUCUUGCCAUCGGAUGUGCCCAGAUGGGAUUAGCUAGUAGGUGGGGUAACGGCUCACCUAGGCGACGAUCCCUAGCUGGUCUGAGAGGAUGACCAGCCACACUGGAACUGAGACACGGUCCAGACUCCUACGGGAGGCAGCAGUGGGGAAUAUUGCACAAUGGGCGCAAGCCUGAUGCAGCCAUGCCGCGUGUAUGAAGAAGGCCUUCGGGUUGUAAAGUACUUUCAGCGGGGAGGAAGGGAGUGAGGUUAAUAAGCUCAUUCAUUGACGUUACCCGCAGAAGAAGCACCGGCUAACUCCGUGCCAGCAGCCGCGGUAAUACGGAGGGUGCAAGCGUUAAUCGGAAUUACUGGGCGUAAAGCGCACGCAGGCGGUCUGUCAAGUCGGAUGUGAAAUCCCCGGGCUCAACCUGGGAACUGCAUUCGAAACUGGCAGGCUUGAGUCUCGUAGAGGGGGGUAGAAUUCCAGGUGUAGCGGUGAAAUGCGUAGAGAUCUGGAGGAAUACCGGUGGCGAAGGCGGCCCCCUGGACGAAGACUGACGCUCAGGUGCGAAAGCGUGGGGAGCAAACAGG